rnacentral:rRNA from 1 species
CCUACGGGUGGCAGCAGUGAGGAAUAUUGGUCAAUGGACGAGAGUCUGAACCAGCCAAGUAGCGUGAAGGAUGACUGCCCUAUGGGUUGUAAACUUCUUUUAUAUGGGAAUAAAAUGUUCCACGUGUGGGAUUUUGUAUGUACCAUAUGAAUAAGGAUCGGCUAACUCCGUGCCAGCAGCCGCGGUAAUACGGAGGAUCCGAGCGUUAUCUGGAUUUAUUGGGUUUAAAGGGAGCGUAGGUGGAUUGUUAAGUCAGUUGUGAAAGUUUGCGGCUAAACCGUAAAAUUGCAGUUGAAACUGGCAGUCUUGAGUACAGUAGAGGUGGGCGGAAUUCGUGGUGUAGCGGUGAAAUGCUUAGAUAUCACGAAGAACUCCGAUUGCGAAGGCAGUUCACUGGACUGCAACUGACACUGAGGCUCGAAAGUGUGGGUAUCAAACAGGAUUAGAUACCCUUGUAGUC